CGGCAGCACAGAAGAGCUUGCUCUUUGGGUGGCGAGUGGCGGACGGGUGAGUAAUGUCUGGGAAACUGCCCGAUGGAGGGGGAUAACUACUGGAAACGGUAGCUAAUACCGCAUAACGUCGCGAGACCAAAGUGGGGGACCUUCGGGCCUCACACCAUCGGAUGUGCCCAGAUGGGAUUAGCUAGUAGGUGGGGUAAUGGCUCACCUAGGCGACGAUCCCUAGCUGGUCUGAGAGGAUGACCAGCCACACUGGAACUGAGACACGGUCCAGACUCCUACGGGAGGCAGCAGUGGGGAAUAUUGCACAAUGGGCGCAAGCCUGAUGCAGCCAUGCCGCGUGUAUGAAGAAGGCCUUCGGGUUGUAAAGUACUUUCAGCGGGGAGGAAGGCGGUGAGGUUAAUAACCUUGCCGAUUGACGUUACCCGCAGAAGAAGCACCGGCUAACUCCGUGCCAGCAGCCGCGGUAAUACGGAGGGUGCAAGCGUUAAUCGGAAUUACUGGGCGUAAAGCGCACGCAGGCGGUCUGUUAAGUCAGAUGUGAAAUCCCCGGGCUUAACCUGGGAACUGCAUUUGAAACUGGCAGGCUUGAGUCUCGUAGAGGGGGGUAGAAUUCCAGGUGUAGCGGUGAAAUGCGUAGAGAUCUGGAGGAAUACCGGUGGCGAAGGCGGCCCCCUGGACGAAGACUGACGCUCAGGUGCGAAAGCGUGGGGGAGCAAACAGGAUUAGAUACCCUGGUAGUC
rnacentral:rRNA from 1 species